rnacentral:tRNA from 1 species
GGGGUUGUGACUCAGUGAUAGAGCACUUGCCUAGCAUGCAUGAGGCACUGGGUUAGAUUCCUAGCACCA